rnacentral:lncRNA from 1 species
GUCAGACAAGAUGAGUUCUUCUUCAUCUUCACAACGCCAGCGGCUUACGCUUAUUGCCCAGUUUGAUGAUAUUUGUAGAUGUUACGAAAUUUUGGCAGAAGGAUGCGAACAAGAUUUCAAGCGCUUCGUGUUGAGCCAGGAAGGUGUGCGACUAAAAUGGCUAGAAGCAGUCAAUGAGUGUCAACGCAUGAAGGGUGCACUUGAGUCAAGUAACAAUGAAAUCUCAACUCUCAAUAAAAAACUGCGCACAGCCAGGAUAAUGCUUGACCGAGAGAAAGCAAUGAGAAGAAAUGCAGAGCGAGAUUUGGCAGCCAUCAUCAGAGACUAUGCAGCAAUGGAUAACUCUGUCACAAAUGCAACCAUGAGGAGUAGAUAUAGUGCUGAUGCCAAGCUAGCAGAUGGUCUGAAUACCAUUAGCGAACGGGAUUCCGACAUACGAUCGGAAUUGAGUUACUCCCGCUCAGAUGAUGAUUUGGACGUAUCUUACGGGAAGCAAUGGAAAAGAAAUCGGCCACCACCUAUGGCAAGCCCAGAGCCUGUCAGUGCAAAGCGGAGACGUUCCUCUUUGUCCACAAACACCAACACAAACUCAAAAAGGACUCUAGAGAUUCAUGGAGGCAAGGAGAGCCUGGUCACAACUACAACCGUGACAAUGAAAAGGGAGAACCUGUCACCGCGACACAGACAAUGCACACCAUUCCUGCUUCGUCUUCCUCAACGACUUCGCUAUUCGCCCAUCCAACUACUCCGGCAGCAAGACCAUUUCCCAGCCGAACAAAGAUUCAAGCGUCCGCUCCACCAGCAUCCGAUGAUGAAUCAGAUUUUACAAACAUGA